GUUUUCUCUUUGGUCUUAUGCUUCUAACACUCUUUUCGCAUAUAUGUUGCAUUUUCUUCGUCUAUUGUAAGUAUUUAUUUUCAUGCGCGUACGUGUGAAGAGACCACCAAACAGGCUUUGUGUGAGCAACAUGGCUGUUUAUUUCACCUGGGUGCAGGUGGGCUGAGUCCAAAAAGAGAGUCAGUGAAGGGAGAUAAGGGUGUGGCCGUUUUAUAGGAUUUGGGUAGUACAGUCAAAGGGGUUGAGCCAGGAUGAGCCAGGAAAAGGACUUUCACAAGGUAAUGUCAUCAGUUAAGGCAAGGACCGGCCAUUUACCAGUGGAAUAAAUAAAUACCGGCCAUUUUGUGGUGGAAUGUCAUCAGUUAAGGUGGGGCAGGGCAUAUUCACUUCUUUUAAAGGCUACAGGGUGUGGUCCUGGCUCUUGUGUAAGAAUUCUGACCGCGCUAACCAUGCCUAGGAGGAAAGGAGUUGUUGUUUUGUAGAAGGUGCUGGGGUUUGAGAGAUCAGUCGGACACAAUUGGCAGGGAGAGUUUAUAGGCUUUAAAAGGCCAUGCUGUAGCAGGCGAGUGAUAACAGGCUUUAAUCUUUUUAAAGCGUGCCGCAGGAUGGGAUACUGGUGUUGAGUGGGGUAAGGGUGAUUAGGUUUUAAUGAGACGUUAAGGGGUGCAUGAUCGGUCACCAAGGAGGGAGUAGAGGAGGGGAGGUGAUAAAAAGAUUAUAGGGUGGAGGAGCAGAGGCUGAAGAAGAAUUGGGACCUAUCUCCGCCUGGCGAGGAGCAGCCUGGGGAGGAAGGGAGAGGUCAGAUGGGUCUGUAGAAAAGGAAGAUUAGAAAGACUCAGCAAUGCUUGGGGUUGGUACUGAGGGGACAGGCGGGAGGGAAAGAAGGAAG
rnacentral:lncRNA from 10 species